GACGAACGCUGGCGGCGUGCUUAACACAUGCAAGUCGAACGGAAAGGCCUGCUUUCCCUUGUGGAUUGCGGGUACUCGAGUGGCGAACGGGUGAGUAACACGUGAGUGAUCUGCCCCCAACUUGGGUAUAAGCCUGGGAAACUGGGUCUAAUUCCCGAUAGGACUGCAGGGUGGUGCCUGUGGUGGAAAACGAUUUUCUAGUGGUUGGGGAUGAGCUCGCGGCCUAUCAGCUUGUUGGUGGGGUAAUGGCCUACCAAGGCGGCGACGGGUAGCCGGCCUGGGAGGGUGGACGGCCACAUUGAGACUGGGAUACGGCCCAGACUCCUACGGGAGGCAGCAGUGGGGAAUAUUGCACAAUGAGCGGAAGCCUGAUGCAGCGACGCCGCGUGGGGGAUGACGGCCUUCGGGUUGUAAACUCCUUUCGACCGCGAGGAAGCCACCUGGUUGGAAGGGUGGUGACGGUAGUGGUAGAAGAAGCACCGGCUAACUACGUG
rnacentral:rRNA from 1 species